rnacentral:rRNA from 1 species
UACGUAGGGGGCUAGCGUUGUCCGGAUUUAUUGGGCGUAAAGAGCGUGUAGGCGGCCAGGUAGGUCUGCUGUGAAAACUCGAGGCUCAACCUCGAGACGUCGGCGGAAACCAUCUGGCUAGAGUCCGGAAGAGGAGAGUGGAAUUCCUGGUGUAGCGGUGAAAUGCGUAGAGAUCGGGAGGAACACCAGAGGCGAAGGCGGCGACCUGGACAGAUACUGACACUCAACUACGAAAGCGUGGGGAGCAAACAGG